UACGAAGGGUGCAAACGUUGCUCGGAAUUAUUGGGCGUAAAGCGCACGUAGGCGGCUUGGCAAGUCGGAUGUGAAAUCCCUCGGCUCAACCAAGGAAGUGCAUCCGAAACUGCUGAGCUUGAGUACGAAAGAGGAUCGCGGAAUUCCCGGUGUAGAGGUGAAAUUCGUAGAUAUCGGGAGGAACACCAGUGGCGAAGGCGACUACCUGGCCUGUUCUUGACGCUGAGGCGCGAAAGCUAGGGGAGCAAACGGG
rnacentral:rRNA from 1 species